UUAAUUUGUCGAGAUAACGUUAUGGAGAGAGAAAUGUAUAAGCGUCCCGCUUCGUUCUUUUUUUCAAAUAAACUUAUCUAGAAAUAUAAAGCAACUAGAUUUUAAACUUGAGAUCUUGUGCUGAGAUAAUAUUAUAAUUAGGAUAAUAGUUUUACUAUUCUGAAUGGGUGUUAUAUAAUUACCGUAGAGUUAUUUUUGUUACUGUCGUAAAAGAUGCAUUGUAUCUGAUCUGAAUUUGAUCUAUUUUUCUCUCGAUAUUAAUUUCGAUCUGAUCUAACAAAUAA
rnacentral:lncRNA from 1 species